GAUGAACGCUGGCGGCGUGCUUAACACAUGCAAGUCGAACGAAGCACUCUAUUUGAUUUCCUUCGGGAUUGAUUAUUUUGUGACUGAGUGGCGGACGGGUGAGUAACGCGUGGGUAACCUACCUUAUACAGGGGGAUAACAGUUGGAAACGACUGCUAAUACCGCAUAAGCGCACAGCAUCGCAUGAUGCAGUGUGAAAAGCUCCGACGGUAUAAGAUGGACCCGCGUCUGAUUAGCUAGUUGGUGAGGUAACGGCCCACCAAGGCGACGAUCAGUAGCCGACCUGAGAGGGUGACCGGCCACAUUGGGACUGAGACACGGCCCAAACUCC
rnacentral:rRNA from 1 species